AACGAACGCUGGCGGCAGGCCUAACACAUGCAAGUCGAGCGAGGACCUCGGUUCUAGCGGCGGACGGGUGAGUAACGCGUGGGAAUGUGCCCUUCUCUACGGAAUAGCCCUGGGAAACUGGGAGUAAUACCGUAUACGCCCUAUUGGGGCAAGAUUUAUCGGAGAAGGAUCAGCCCGCGUUGGAUUAGGUAGUUGGUGGGGUAAUGGCCUACCAAGCCGACGAUCCAUAGCUGGGUUGAGAGGAUGAGCAGCCACACUGGGACUGAGACACGGCCCAGAAUCCUACGGGAGGCAGCAGUGGGGAAUCCUAGACAACGGGGUGAAUCCUGAUCGAGCCAGGCCGCGUGAGUGAUGAAGGCCUUAGGGUUGUAAAGCUCGUUCAGCUGGGAAGAUAAUGACGGUACCAGAAGAAGAAGCCCCGGCUAACUCCGUG
rnacentral:rRNA from 1 species